rnacentral:lncRNA from 1 species
GUAAUCACGAUGGUUAACUUGCAAAUGAAUUAAAACUACAAAUGUCAGGAGUUUCUGAGAGCUGACAUUAACAUAAUAUUCUUGAGGGAUUGUGCUGCUCCAGCUAAUUGGACUGUUCUGAUAGAAGACAAAAUGGAAUAAAAAUAAUGUGUCUCAUGAAGCAUGUUAGAUUCAACCUUAGAGAGAAGCUAUCGGAAUGAUUUGCUGGGGUCACAGUCACCUGGCUGUUGGUUGGGAGUUAUUCACAGCUCCUAGGCCCUCUAAGUCUUUGUAUGUGGACCCAUCUUUCUUCAAGCCAACAACACUUGUUUCUGCUAGGUGCUCAGUUCAGGUAUCACAUUUGUCAAAUGGUAUAAUCAUCUCUUCGCCUGAAGACAAGAGCCUGGGGAACUUCUCAAAUGCCAGCCAGCACUUAGCCAGCAAAACUCCUUGAAGGUAAAGAUGGCCAAAAGGCACACACCA